GAACGUAAGUGUGUGAGGAUAUUGUUGCGGAGUGACGAGUAUAAUUGUAUCAUAGUUUAUGGAGAAAAACAAUUUAAAAGGGACGUUCAACGCGCUGUCAAAUCAGUCAUAUUUAAACUUGCGCAAUGACGUCGGCAUGUGGUCGCGGAGGAAAACGUAAAUUUUGGGGGGAAUAUUUUAGCAGCAUGGGCGAUAAUUAGAGGAUCAAAGAGAAAUUAAGGUCCUCACAUGGUGCGAAACCAACUUUUUCCAUGUCAAACUUGGACAGCGGCUGUCCAUGACACACAUGACAACAUCAUCUUCUAGUGGCGUAGAGCUCCACUCCACAGAAAAUACUGUAAUAAAGGAACUGGAAGAAGAGCCCUUUCGCUUUGUGGCCUUUAAAAUCAAAGGUGAACAGGUGGAGCUUGUGGACGCCACCAAUGCCACCAGAAUGGUUCCAUUAGAGGAGUGGAACCAAAAAUUCCCAGAUGGCCCUAAUCUUCCCCUAGAGCAGUGCUUCUCAAUUAUUUUCUGUUACGCCCCCCCCUAGCAAGAAGAAAUCUAUUCGCGCCCCCCCCUCCCCACCGUGACUAUCCUAACUUGUCUUGUAAGUUGUAAAAUGUUGCACAUUCGCAAACGUGACAGAAGUAACAAUGAGAGCGCCACUGCCCCCUGCUGUAGUAAACCCGCAAUUACACUUUAUUCUAGUACUGCCAAAAAAAAAGCCUGUUCCCCAGGGUCACGCGCGCCCCCCCAGGAAUAGCAAGGGGGGCGCGCCCCACUAUUUGAGAAGCACUGCCCUAGAGGGGUUUUUGUGGUAUUUUUUUUUUUGUUCUGUUAUUUGUAUUUUGUGUUGUUUGUUCUGUUUAAAAUGUUCUACUAUUAAAGUUUAAAGUUAAAGGCACAAAAUAAUAAUUGUUUAUUUUAUUCAUUUUUAUUAAAUUAUGAUAAUAUAUUUCACCACUUCAUCAACAUCUGCCCCCUAUAGAGACCACCCUCAGAGGCCGGCCUCUUCGACUUGCAACCAGAGAUGCUGGCGUGGCUCCACGACACCAAGUUGGAACACUGACGUUACACGUGAGAGAGAGAGAGAGAGAGAGAGAGGCAACGUCAUCCGCCGAAUUAGGUGACCCAGUUUAUUAUUUUGUUUAUAGCAAAUACAGUCGCAAAUAUAUUGUUUCAAUGUGUAGUUAAUGGUAUUAAUGUAUAGUAUAUGAUUUUAAUCUAUUUUAAUCUAUAGUAUUGGUAUUUUACCCAUGCCUUAUUUCGGGAUAUUUGUAACUUCUGCUGUCUUUAUCUUAGUAUUCUGGAAUACUAUGGUUUAUUUCGAAAAUGUUUCUCAGAUGUCGCAUGUUUUCCCAUUCUAGAUUGAUAGAUAGAAUUUACGGUAGCGUUCUUUGGCCUGCUGUCCAAAGAACAUAGAAAACAAUACGGAAUGCGAUCAUCUCAUGUGCGGUGGCACCACAAAGUAGAUUGCAGAAGUUAACUCAGCAGCAUGGACGCGUUCCAGGCAGUUACUGCGACCGCAAGAGAGUAAGUAUUACUAAAAAGAAGCACACAAGUUUCCAACUUGCCGAGUGGACAGUGAAGCAGAAAAUAGAUUUGUCAAAAAGUGUGAGGAAAAUAUGCACUGUCUGCCGACUCACAUUUUCCAUAGUCCAUGUGGAACUGACUCACCUUAAGCAACACGGUGGACACGAACGAAAAAACGCACAACUAAGCAAGGGGGAACCUGGACAGAUCCAUUAGGCAACGACAAAGAUGAUUAUCCAGACAUCCCCAACGUCAAAGCAGCAGUAUUUUUGUCCUCAGCAUCCUUAUUUUCCACAAAGGUUUCUACAUUUUUCAACCGAUUCAACCCAUUCCAACUUUCAACUGUUCAUCUUUUGCCCACCUAUUCCACAACUUCCCACUUACCAAAUAUUCCAAACUUUCAAUUUUGAAAUUCACCACAAAUUCUCCAAAUAUUCUACAUCUCUCAAGUAAUUCAACACGUUUCAACAUCGCUCGGCAGCAUUCCCCGAAAAAGUUAUUCAUACAUUUCGCCUUCACACGCAAUUUCUCCAGAAAUUGCAAAAUUCUAGU